UCCGAAUUGGUGUAGGGGUCAACAUUGCCGCUUCUCACGAUUACGUAAUCCUUCAGGAUAGUGUAAUUCGCUCGCGGCAGCCCGGGGUUCGAUUCCCCGAUUCGGAA